rnacentral:rRNA from 1 species
CGACGUGGCGGUAUGCCUAUACAUGCAAGUCGAACGCUUCUUUCCUCCCGAGUGCUUGCACUCAAUUGGAAAGAGGAGUGGCGGACGGGUGAGUAACACGUGGGUAACCUACCCAUCAGAGGGGGAUAACACUUGGAAACAGGUGCUAAUACCGCAUAACAGUUUAUGCCGCAUGGCAUAAGAGUGAAAGGCGCUUUCGGGUGUCGCUGAUGGAUGGACCCGCGGUGCAUUAGCUAGUUGGUGAGGUAACGGCUCACCAAGGCCACGAUGCAUAGCCGACCUGAGAGGGUGAUCGGCCACACUGGGACUGAGACACGGCCCAGACUCCUACGGGAGGCAGCAGUAGGGAAUCUUCGGCAAUGGACGAAAGUCUGACCGAGCAACGCCGCGUGAGUGAAGAAGGUUUUCGGAUCGUAAAACUCUGUUGUUAGAGAAGAACAAGGACGUUAGUAACUGAACGUCCCCUGACGGUAUCUAACCAGAAAGCCACGGCUAACUACGUGCCAGCAGCCGCGGUAAUACGUAGGUGGCAAGCGUUGUCCGGAUUUAUUGGGCGUAAAGCGAGCGCAGGCGGUUUCUUAAGUCUGAUGUGAAAGCCCCCGGCUCAACCGGGGAGGGUCAUUGGAAACUGGGAGACUUGAGUGCAGAAGAGGAGAGUGGAAUUCCAUGUGUAGCGGUGAAAUGCGUAGAUAUAUGGAGGAACACCAGUGGCGAAGGCGGCUCUCUGGUCUGUAACUGACGCUGAGGCUCGAAAGCGUGGGGAGCAAACAGGAUUAGAUACCCUGGUAGUCCACGCCGUAAACGAUGAGUGCUAAGUGUUGGAGGGUUUCCGCCCUUCAGUGCUGCAGCAAACGCAUUAAGCACUCCGCCUGGGGAGUACGACCGCAAGGUUGAAACUCAAAGGAAUUGACGGGGGCCCGCACAAGCGGUGGAGCAUGUGGUUUUAUUUCGAAGCAACGCGAAGAACC